CACGAAUGGUAACAUUAGUGGCGCACGGGUGAGUAACACGUGGGAAUCUACCCUGGGGAUUGGGAUAACUACUGGAAACGGUGGCUAAUACCAGAUAUACUAGAGAUAGGAAAGGAGCAAUCCGCCUUAGGAUGAGCCCCGCGUUUGAUUAGCUAGUUGGUGGGGUAAGAGCCUACCAAGGCGAUGAUCAAUAGCUGUUCUGAGAGGAAGAUCAGCCACACUGGGACUGAGACACGGCCCAG
rnacentral:rRNA from 1 species